rnacentral:rRNA from 1 species
UACGUAGGGUGCAAGCGUUGUCCGGAAUUAUUGGGCGUAAAGAGCUCGUAGGCGGUCUGUCGCGUCGGCUGUGAAAACUCGGGGCUCAACUCCGAGCUUGCAGUCGAUACGGGCAGGCUAGAGUUCGGCAGGGGAGACUGGAAUUCCUGGUGUAGCGGUGAAAUGCGCAGAUAUCAGGAGGAACACCGGUGGCGAAGGCGGUUCUCUGGGCCUUACCUGACGCUGAGGAGCGAAAGCAUGGGGAGCGAACAGG